rnacentral:lncRNA from 1 species
CUCAAAAGAAGGUCCAAUGCACAUUUAAUACAUUUUCAUUGAGUGGUGUGAUUGAUAAAUCUGGUCUUCUUGUUCCAUUACUCCACAUACUGCGACUGACGUAUUGAAACAGACAGCCAGUGAAUUCUGAGACAAAUGGUGUCUGGAGGAUUGGAAAACCCAACAUGGCAAACAGUAUGCCCAGUAGAGAGCCCCAGCAGGAUGGUCUGGGAGUACAACAUGCAUUCCAUCAACCUGGAGGAAGCAGGGUCAAGCACACCUACACCCUGAGAAUAAACCAUCUUGAAGACAUGACACACAGAGAGUACAAUGCCAUGCUGCCUGUUGUGGCUGAGGAUCAGCGCGGCUUUGAGGAGAUCCCCCUCUGAGUGGAACGUGACUGCCAAAGUCACAUCAUCAUGAGACUGGCGUACACACAGACAAACAUGAAGAACUUGGUUAGAAGAACACAUAUUUUCUUCAUCUCAUCUUUACGGACUCACAAUACUUCCUUUAUAUAUCUUAUAAAGGUAACCUUCCGAGACUCCAUCCCCUUUAUUUGCUCUAGCUUUAAAGAUGAGAGGGAAUCGAAGAUUGACCAAUGCACUACAAAAUGUAGUCAUCCACUGUGUGUGCCUCAAGAGACAGGUAUAGCAUGAUGGAAAGGUUAUGUUAAAUAUGUGUUUUUAUUUCUUUACAAGAAAUUCCAUGAAGUAAAAUCAAUGAAAAACAAAUACUAUUCAGCUGAUUAUCGGGUAGCUUCAUUGUGUUGUAAUUGAAGUCUGUUUUGUUAUCUCCUCAUUGCUAGAGGGUACAACCAGUGUGGAAUCGCAGGUCGUUCCCUCUACCCUCUAUGUGAAAAACCUUCCUCUGCAGAGUUGGUGUCAAUCCCAUUUCUAUUCCAAACAGUUAAAUAAAGGCAAGGUUUUUCAUCCUAAAAAUACAAUUACAUGUCUGAAAAAAUUGGAAAUGAAACUGGCACCAACUCCGGUAGGGUGUUCAUUAGUAAAAACUAUUCAACUGGUUGCAUAUUGACUACUUCAAAGAUAGCCUACCAUUGCUAAUUCCUGUGGUGUUGCUGAUAAUGGAAGGUUGUCAACAAUACGACUUAGAAGACAAAAAAUAGACAAAGCAUUUGAUUGAAACUUUGAUUAUUAUAAUAUACUUUAUAAUUUAGAAAAUAUGUCCCCCCUUUCACUAAGAUUGUGACCAUUGGACCACCCUGUUUUUUUCUCUUGUGACAGUGUGGAUUGACAAUAAUUUAUCUGUUUAGCUUGAGAGAGUUCAUUUUGACAUUGACUAUGCCACCAUCCACUGGACACAAUGUGUGAAGUGUUAGUCUGUCAUCAGAGACAUUGAAUUCCUUGCAUUCUUCUUAUAUUUCAAUAAAGCAUAAUUCAAGACUUUUGUGUGGACCCCAGGAAGAGUAGCUGCGGCUUUCGUAAUAGCUAAUGGGGAUCCUGAUUCUGAUGGUUUCAGAAGGGACAUUCUGAUGCCUCUAUAUGCAAUACAAAAAUAUGUAAUCAGCAAACAGAAGUGUCAGUGAGGUCCAAAAGUAAAGUAUUUAUACAGUAACUAAUGUUUUGGUUCUGUACUAAACUAUCAUACCCCCCCC